rfam:Triticum aestivum genome assembly, contig: Triticum_aestivum_CS42_TGACv1_scaffold_061305_1DL
UAUAUACUCCCUUCAUUCGGAAUUACUUGUCGCAGAAAUGGAUGUAUCUAGACGUAUUUUAGUUCUAGAUACAUCCAUUUCCGAUACAAGUAAUUUCGAACGGAGGGAGUAUUCU